rnacentral:lncRNA from 1 species
UGGCAAAAGUCUUACUUGCUUUAAUAUUAGGUAGAGAUAGAGAUUAUGUUCUGAGCGAGUUCAAAGCGCUUGCCCAUUUCUUUCCAACUGACGUUGCGGAGUGCUAGAGCUUAUCUCGCACAGACCACCUCCUCUCCUCGUUUCUCUCAUCCUACUCGUUUCUUCCUCUUUUCACCAUUGCUUAUUUCUCCCUCAUAUCCCGGAGCUAGCAAAGCAUGCGCUUCCUGCUAGGAGGUGGUGGCUCGGGUCACCAGUCAACACUCCCGAGCUCCGCCGGUGAGCUUGAGCAUGACGUUGAGAGGGAAAGGAGGCAGCUUCUCUUCCCCUUCUCUUCUUCUGAUCUUCUCAUCUUUCUCUCUCGGCUUCUCCAAUCCAGCGAGCGUAGCAGUGUGGCUGAGCAACGGUGGUGGCACCGCUGCAAGCGCGGCUCCUGCACAAAUCCAAUGGCGGGCCGAGCGAAGCGCGGCAGCUGGAGAGCUACGGCGAAGCUCGCACGCGUCGGCGUUGCGGCCAC